rnacentral:lncRNA from 1 species
ACAAAGGUUUUAUCUGCAUUUUAAUGAUACGCCUAUCUUAGCGUAUUAUGAAUUAUAUUUGGCUAUCUGUACUGCAAUUUUCAUGAAUAUUUCAGAGUAAUGGCAGACCAUAAUGGCUCAGUAUUUUAUUACAGGUUAUCACUGAUACAAAACACUCUUAAAAGUCAUUUGAAUAAAUGCUAGAAUCCCUUAUCUAUAAGCGAAAUAUUUUUUAAAGAAAGUUUUGUAUUUCUUAAGAAUACAACCAUAGAAGAAAUGCGAUACUUUGGCUUUCAAUUUUCAAAUUUAAGAAUGAUCCCAUUAUUUCAGCUUAAAUAAAAACUAUUUUAAUUUUGUUCAAUUAAGAGAUACAAAAAUAUGUUAUAAACUCUUUAAAAAUUUAAAACAGUGUUUCAAAGAGUAUAUUCCAAAAGAAAGGAUGCAGUAUGUGCACCUUGACUGUGUUCAUAAAGUACUUCACUGAUUUACAUAGAUUAUUUGAUAUUCAAAUACUAUCUGCCUAAUUAAAGUCUUCAUUUGUUUUGGCAGUUGUAAAGUUUUCUGUGUGUUCAUAAAAACAUCAGUGAAAUGGCCAUGCUUCACCUCAUUAGUGAAAGGAUGCUGAAGUCUGUUCUCUACUCUUCAUUUCUGGGGAGUCACAUUCACACAUAACUUUUGUACCAAUUAAAAACUGUUAAUGGCAAAACAUUGUAAUUGAUUAGUCUUUGUAUGUUUACAGCUCACUUUAAUUGCUGAAAAACGCUAUUUGUCAGUUUCAUGUUCUAUUGACAAUGCUAUUGAUUUAUCUGAAUUUGGCUUUGUCUUGUCUCUCGUACAUAAAACUCACAUAUGCAGUUCAAAUGGGAAAUGACUGUAUUGAUUUCCUUAACUUGAGCCCAAAUGCUAAAGAUUUUUGGAUAAGCUUUCUCAUUACUUAAGCCAAAAUCAAUAAGAAAGAGCGUCUUUUAAUGAAAGAGCAGUUUGAGCAACGUACUUCAGAAAUAGGGUCCUGUUCAUUCUUUGCUUUACACAUCGAUCUCCCAGGUUCCUUAAGUGAGGUCCAAUUGGUUGACAUUGUGGUUUGUCUUUGUGUGUAAACUUGCAGCUUCAGAGAAGAGAAGAUGAGCUACAGAGACAGUGGAAAGAAACUCUCUCGCUGAGAAAGAAGAUAGUCCACCAGCAGGAACACAGGCAUUGAAAGUGAGCUACAGAAAUAAAGUGCCCAUUCUGAGGAACAACGGAAUGAACCGAAUGCAUAAAACAAGUUAUAUGGACAGGCCAAACGUCAGGUCCUCCUCUGAGAAUGGAGUUAAUAAUGGAACUUGGUCUUAGGAUGCCUGAGGUUGCAUAUAUAUCAGACACACAAAAGAUACAAAAUUCAAUCUGUGCUUGAAGGGAGCUUCUCAUGGGAGAUGGAAGAAGAGCAAGAUUUGGCCACAAGAUAUAUCUGUGCGAGAUUUGGAAGGUGAAAAUAAAGCCGUAAUUGUGUUCACUCUGGGAAACUUGAUCAAGUCUGGCUCUUCUGCAGCUCAUCAAAGUUUCUACAGCCCCCCGGUACAUAGUUGUGUAUUCUUCGUUGUGGGUUCUUCUAGUUGUGGUAUGUGGGAUGCUGCCUCAGCGUGGUUUGAUGAGCAGUGCCAUGUCCGCGCCCAGGAUUCGAACUAACGAAACACUGGGCUGCCUGCAGUGGAGCGCGCGAACUUAACCACUCAGCCACGGGGCCAGCCCCCAAACUUUAUCACUUUGUAAGCCAAGUGGAGCUAAAUGUCUUCAACCAGCUCUUCCAUCAUUUGAUGUAGAAGAAUCAAGCCUCUCAGAAGAGAGUUUUUCAUUCUUUGACUACUUCGUUAUCAAAAUAUCAUAAUUAUAUUGUGCAUAUCAUUAUAGUGCAAUGCAUUAUGAAGACUGAAAUCAACUCCAAAAGUGAUUUCAUCUAAUGGGUUAUAGUAGGGACCUAGGAUAGCAAAUAAAAAAGUAUCCAAAUUAAGUCAAUUAUACGCAUUGAAAUAAAUGGAUGUGAAUGAAUGAUGUGCUGUGGCAACACUAACACCUACAAAUUGUUCCAAAAUUUACAUAAAGAAACAAUACAAAUAUUCUCUCAAAUUAUGGAGACUAUAAAUAUGGCUCAGCAUUGGCAAAACUUUUACUACUGAGAUCUAUGUAAUAGACUAUGCUAAAUUUAAUGUUAUCUUCCAUUGAACUCAGACAAAAAUAAGAUAAUAUUUUUGCAACUAUGAAGGUUAUGCAUAAUAAUUAUAACUUUAUCUUUUAUUGUUUCUCCAAGAACAAAGGGCACUAUAUAAUACUUUUGAAUGUGAAAUUGGUGAAUUGUGUAAAACCAG